AUUGAACGCUGGCGGCAUGCUUUACACAUGCAAGUCGAACGGCAGCGCGGGCUUCGGCCUGGCGGCGAGUGGCGAACGGGUGAGUAAUGCAUCGGAACGUGCCCAGUAGUGGGGGAUAGCCCGGCGAAAGCCGGAUUAAUACCGCAUACGACCUGAGGGUGAAAGCGGGGGACCGAAAGGCCUCGCGCUAUUGGAGCGGCCGAUGUCGGAUUAGCUAGUUGGUGGGGUAAAGGCUUACCAAGGCGACGAUCCGUAGCUGGUCUGAGAGGACGACCAGCCACACUGGGACUGAGACACGGCCCAGACUCCUACGGGAGGCAGCAGUGGGGAAUUUGGGACAAUGGGGGCAACCCUGAUCCAGCCAUGCCGCGUGCGGGAAGAAGGCCUUCGGGUUGUAAACCGCUUUUGUUCGGGAAGAAAUCCUCUGGGCUAAUACCCCGGGGGGAUGACGGUACCGGAAGAAUAAGCACCGGCUAACUACGU
rnacentral:rRNA from 1 species